AAACUAACAAGGAUUCCCCUAGUAACGGCGAGUGAACCGGGAAGAGCUCAAAUUUGAAAUCUGGCGUGCUCAGUGCGUCCGAGUUGUAAUCUAUAGAGGCGUUUUCCGUGCCGGACUGUGUCUAAGUCCCUUGGAACAGGGUAUCAAAGAGGGUGAUAAUCCCGUACUUGACACAAUGACCGGUGCUCUGUGAUACGUCUUCUACGAGUCGAGUUGUUUGGGAAUGCAGCUCAAAAUGGGUGGUGAGUUCCAUCUAAAGCUAAAUAUUGGCGAGAGACCGAUAGCGAACAAGUACCGUGAGGGAAAGAUGAAAAGCACUUUGGAAAGAGAGUUAAACAGUACGUGAAAUUGUUGAAAGGGAAACGAUUGAAGUCAGUCGUGACUGAGAGGCUCAGCCGGUUCUGCCGGUGUAUUCCCCUCAGUCGGGUCAACAUCAGUUUUGUUCGGUGGAUAAGGGCAGCUGGAAGGUGGCACCUCCGGGUGUGUUAUAGCCAGCUGUCGCAUACAUCGAAUGAGACUGAGGAAUGCAGCUCGCCUUUAUGGCCGGGGUUCGCCCACGUCCGAGCUAGGAUGUGACAAAUUU
rnacentral:rRNA from 1 species